AUGGUGCUCCCUUUGAUCAGGUAUCUAUGUGUCUAAAUAUGCUGAUAAUUGUUGAUUUGUGUGUUUAAACUCUGUUCUUUGUGCUGAUACCAUAGCAUGGUGCCAUGGGGGUCAUCCAGAGAAGUGGAUAGCUAGUUUAUAAAAUGUUAGCUUUUGUAUGUUAUCACGUGCUUGCAUUUAGCUUCAAGUUUUCCCUCUUAUGGGCGGAUUAUUUUUUCAUAUGUUGGUAUUUUGUUCUAUGUAAAAGCCAUUUGAACAUAUAGCAUAUCUCUCUGAAUUUACAUGAGAAU
rnacentral:misc_RNA from 1 species